AGAUAUGCCUAAGUUUGCAACAGUUAGUGAAUGCAAGAUCCGUUUUGAUGCCUUCACACAGUCCUUAAGAAUGCUAAUUAAUUUUAGCUCGCAAGUUUCCCAGAAAACCACUUUGUUGUAUCGUUUUUGGUUUAUACCUUUUUCAUGACAACGUUUCUUCAAUUAGGUGUACACAGAGGAGUAAGCUCAGUGUCGUCUGUUCACUAUCGAUUAAGCUUAACAGGAUAAUAUUUGUAUGCUAUCUCUAAGGGAAGUCAUUGGUUUUAUGAAAUUCUUUAUGAAGUUAGAGCUAUUAACGUCGCCGUCCUAUAUGAAAAUUACACAACUUUAAGCAUUUUGUCUCUGACAACACGCAAAAGCUUUUCGCGUCCCACUGCCGUUCCCGUCUUGGCCUUCCCGUCCUUGCAUCGUAUAAAGGUCCCUAAUGUUGCUAACAAUGAUACA